CUGUAAGGCCAAACCUCCUUUGUCAAAGCCUGAUCUCGUCUGGUUUCAGAAGCUAAGCGGGGCUGGGCCUGGUCAGUUGUUGGAACGGAGACGGCUGGGAAUACCAGGUGACGCCGUGGGGC
rnacentral:rRNA from 1 species